UACGAAGGGGGCUAGCGUUGCUCGGAAUCACUGGGCGUAAAGGGUGCGUAGGCGGGUCUUUAAGUCAGGGGUGAAAUCCUUGGGCUUAACUCAAGAAGUGCCCCAGAAACGGUGAGACUGGAGUCCUGGAGAGGGUCGUGGAAUUCCCGGUGUAGCGGUGAAAUGCGUAGAGAUCGGGAGGAACACCAGAGGCGAAGGCGGCGACCUGGACAGGUACUGACACUCAACUACGAAAGCGUGGGGAGCAAACAGG
rnacentral:rRNA from 1 species